rnacentral:rRNA from 1 species
UACGUAGGGUGCGAGCGUUGUCCGGAAUUAUUGGGCGUAAAGAGCUUGUAGGCGGUUUGUCGCGUCUGCUGUGAAAUCUCAAGGCUCAACCUUGAGCUUGCAGUGGGUACGGGCAGACUAGAGUGUGGUAGGGGAGACUGGAAUUCCUGGUGUAGCGGUGAAAUGCAUAGAUAUCGUCAAGAACACCGAUAGCGAAGGCAGCUUACUGGGCUGUAACUGACGCUGAGGCACGAAAGUGUGGGGAUCAAACAGG